rnacentral:rRNA from 1 species
CACGUAGGGCGCAAGCGUUGUCCGGAAUUAUUGGGCGUAAAGAGCUCGUAGGUGGUUUGUUACGUCUGCUGUGAAAACCUAGGGCUUAACCCUGGGCUUGCAGUGGAUACGGGCAGACUAGAGUGUGGUAGGGGAGACUGGAAUUCCUGGUGUAGCGGUGAAAUGCGCAGAUAUCAGGAGGAACACCGAUGGCGAAGGCAGGUCUCUGGGCCACUACUGACGCUGAGAAGCGAAAGCAUGGGGAGCGAACAGG